CGAAGGAUGCAAGCGUUAGUCCGGAUUCAUUGGGUUUAAAGGGAGCGUAGGUGGCCUUAUAAGUCAGUGGUGAAAUCUCUCGGCUUAACCGAGAAAGUUGCCAUUGAUACUGUAGGGCUUGAGUAUAGUUGCCGUUGGCGGAAUAUGACAUGUAGUGGUGAAAUACAUAGAGAUGUCAUAGAACACCGAUUGCGAAGGCAGCUGACGAAACUAUAACUGACACUGAGGCUCGAAAGUGCGGGGAUCAAACAGGAUUACGAUACCCUGGUAGUCCGCACUGUAAACGAUGAUUACUCGCUGCUAGAGGGCAACUUUUAGUGGCUUAGCGAAAGCGAUAAGUAAUCCACCUGGGGAGUACGCCGGCAACGGUG
rnacentral:rRNA from 1 species